GAUGAACGCUAGCGGUAGGCUUAACACAUGCAAGUCGAGGGGCAUCAUGAGCGGUAGAGAUACUGUUUGAUGGCGACCGGCGGAUGGGUGAGUAACGCGUAUGCAACCUACCUUUUACAUUGGGAUAGACACUGGAAACGGUGCGUAAACUCGGAUGAUAUUUGGCAUAGGCAUCUAUGUUAGAUUAAAUGUAUUAUUACAGGUAAGAGAUGGGCAUGCGUAGGAUUAGCUAGUUGGUGUGGUAAUGGCGCACCAAGGCAUCGAUCCUUAGGGGUUCUGAGAGGAAGGUCCCCCACAUUGGAACUGAGAACGGUCCAAACUCCUACGGGAGGCAGCAGUGAGGAAUAUUGGUCAAUGGACGGAAGUCUGAACCAGCCAUACCGCGUGCAGGAAGACGGUCUUAUGGAUUGUAAACUGCUUUUUUGCUAGGGUACAGACCCUGUCGAGCACAGGGGGAAGAAAGUAUAGUAAGAAUAAGCAUCGGCUAACUCCGUGCCAGCAGCCGCGGUAAUACGGAGGAUGCGAGCGUUAUCCGGAUUUAUUGGGUUUAAAGGGUGCGUAGGCUGUUAAGUAGGUCUAUGGUGAAAUCGUUGUGCUUAACACAACUGAGCUGUGGAAACCGUUUAACUAGAAUUUAAGUGGCGUAGGCGGAAUGAAUCAUGUAGAGGUGACAUUCAUAGAUAUGAUUCAGAACACCGUUCGCGAAGGCGGCUUACGAAGGUAAAAUUGACGCUAAUGCACGAAAGCGUGGGUAUCGAACAGGAUUAGAUACCCUGGUAGUCCACGCUGUAAACGAUGAUAACUAUAUGUCGGCGAUAUAAUGUCGGUGUAGCAGUGAAAGCGAUAAGUUAUCCACCUGGGGAGUACGAUCGCAAGGUUGAAACUCAAAGGAAUUGACGGGGGCCCGCACAAGCGGAGGAGCAUGUGGUUUAAUUCGAUGAUACGCGAGGAACCUUACCUGGACUUGAACGUGUAAUUAAUAUACAAGAGAUUGUAUAGUAUAGCAAUAUAAAUUAUGCGAGGUGCUGCAUGGUUGUCGUCAGCUCGUGCCGUGAGGUGUCAGGUUAAGUCCUAUAACGAGCGCAACCCUUAUCGUUAGUUACCAGCGAUUAUAGUCGGGGACUCUAGCGAUACUGCCGGCGUAAGCCGAGAGGAAGGUGGGGAUGACGUCAAAUCAGCACGGCCCUUACGUCCAGGGCGACACACGUGCUACAAUGGUCGGUACAGAGGGCAGUUACUUAGUGAUAAGAUACGAAUCUCUAAAGCCGGUCUCAGUACGGAUUGGAGUCUGCAACCCGACUCCAUGAAGUUGGAUUCGCUAGUAAUCGCAGAUCAGCCAUGCUGCGGUGAAUACGUUCCCGGGCCUUGUACACACCGCCCGUCAAGCCAUGGAAGUUGGUUGUACCUAAAGAGCGUAACCGUUGAGGAGCGUUUUAGGGUAAAGCCAGUAACUGGGGCU
rnacentral:rRNA from 1 species